GAAGUGCGAUAAGCAAUGCGAAUUGCAGAACCGUGAGUCAUCAGAUUUUUGAACGCAACUGGCGCCGUAUGGAAUCCCAUACGGCAUGCUUGUUUCAGUGUCUUUUAUCUCAUCACCCAAAUCAUAAUGCGAGAGAUACCCUUCUCUUGUUAAGCAUGAAAGCACUCUGCGCUCUGCGAGCGACUUCGAUUCGUCGAUGGUCGCACUCAAUGCAGCAGUCACAUUGCUCACAAUGUGAACUCAUUGAGAGCUGAGGCAGUGCAGCGUAAGCUGCCAGUGCUUAGUCACACAAACUUACUUGCAUCUGAAAUCAAGCAGGAUCACCCGCUGAACUUAAGC
rnacentral:misc_RNA from 1 species